rnacentral:rRNA from 1 species
GACGUAGGGCGCGAGCGUUGUCCGGGUUUAUUGGGCGUAGAGAGCUCGUAGGCGGCUUGUUGCGUCGACCGUGAAAACCCGGGGCUCAACUUCGGGCUUGCGGUCGAUACGGGCGGGCUAGAGUUCGGUAGGGGAGACUGGAAUUCCUGGUGUAGCGGUGAAAUGCGCAGAUAUCAGGAGGAACACCGGUGGCGAAGGCGGGUCUCUGGGCCGAUACUGACGCUGAGGAGCGAAAGCGUGGGGAGCGAACAGG